rnacentral:tRNA from 1 species
GAAAGAAUAAGUAUUUAGAUAAAAGAUUUCUAAUCUUGGUAUUGAAAAAUUUACAGUUUUUCUUCUUUUU